UUUCCCCCUCUGUAACAGCAAAGCACUUCUCCACGUCUAACCGUCGUUGGUGCGCCCUCUCUGUAACCCAGCGAAGCACUUCUCCACUUCUGCCAUUCAUUUAUUGUUGUUCUAGUAAUAUGGACCAUGUGGAAGCAAGUGGCAGUACGUGUGGUGCCUACAGGCUUUUUGUUGGAUUUCACUAGUUAGCUAACUAGCUUGUGCCAAGGUGUGUGAGUUUUCUGGCAGCUGGAGGGUCGUGAAAGCAAGGAGGUUAUGGGAUUAUGUGACAAUGGACGGGCUUACAUGUUACAUGCUUACGGAAGGCUAGGAAAAUAACAUCAUAUUAAAGUCAUUAUGACUUGUUUCCUCACUAUUAAUUCCUUGGAGCUCCCCUACUGCAUUAUGACUGUUAUUUCAACCACAAUUUACCUCAUGAGGCUGAAUGGAUAAAUCAGUACAAAGGAAGAGUGUUCAGUUUAAACGACAAGCCUGUGGUGCAUAAAAUUUGGCUGCCGAAUGAGGAAUGCCCCAGAUUGGCAAUGUCUAGAGCCUUUGGGGACUACUUUAUUAAGGAUUUUGGACUUAUAUCCGUCCCUGAAGUGAGGUGUUGUCACAUAUAACCAGCAGAGACCAAUUUGUUGUGUUGCGAACCGAUGAGUCUUCCCGCUAGGGGCUGGGAAGAGAUAACAACGGGAGCGUCGAUUGCAUGGCUAUCAAGUACAUCAAAUUUGUAAGUUAUAUGGUCUUUAUGUUCGAUAAAAAUCUUUUAUGAUUGCACAUUUGUAAUGCUUUUUAUACUCAUACUCGGGGGGGUCACAUGCCUUUAAGUGACCAAUUUUAUGGUGUAUCAUGAACUUUAUUACCUUAUUGCUACAUCGGCCCAUGUGGAGCCCAUUUUUUUUUUUCUUGUUUUAAAAUGUUGAAAGCAUGGGAGUAUGGGAUCAUCGUAUGUGGAGGUUUUGAUUGAUUGUUGUGGAGGAGAAGUUGUUGAUAUGUUGUUUAAUGAGUUAAUGCAAGUUCUCACGUUCUUCGUACAUGUUGAUAUGUAGAGGUUUUGCUAAUUUUCUCUUAAACCCAACUCAUUCAUCAACGCUCUCUUGCUCUCUCUCUCUCUCUCUAGUCUUGUUCAUCGUUUUGCUAGGAUUUCU